UUUUUUUUUUUUUUUUUUUAUAAAUAGAAUGCCACAAUAGUUUUUUAAAAACAUCUAAUCCAUAAGGAGCCAACGGUUAUAUAUAAUCAUCCACUUUUUUUUGAUAAAACGGCAAUGGAUUUGUUUUUCGUUUUUUUUUUAUUUAAUGCUAGUUUGAUUUGUCACUAGUUAUUUGAUAAUUUGGUUUUAUUUCUCCGUUACUAAAAAUCUUUAACUCAUUUUACUAAUAUCCACCAGUAAAUCGGUUAAGUAACGCAAGUAAAUUGCAAUCACCCAAAUGGAAAAAAAGGUUGGUCAAUUAAUCAUCUUAAAUAACUCCUUGAAAGACAUUAAUCCCAAGUUCCUCAAAAAAGAAAAAUGGAAAAUAUAGAAAAGGGUACUUAUGCCAAGAAGCCUGAGAAAAGUAUAAUCCUUGCAGAAAUAUAAAGAAUCCUUACCAAAAUUUAAAACAGAAAAACAAAGCGCAAAGGAAACAAUAUAUAUGAAAUAACUCUGAACUAACAUAUACAUGACCAUGAGUGCCUCCUAUAGAUUGUGCAAUCAGAAUGUAUCAACCUAUAUUGGCAGCUAGUAGUAGGCCUAUUUAUGCACCUCUAAAUGAUUAACGGUUACUAUGACACAAAAAUAAGUUUCACUCAGGAGGACGGAUCAGAAAAAUAUUCCAUCUCAGUGAUACAUGCUGCGGCACCGCUUAUAUCUAAGAAUUCUCCAAAGUGCCUUGUAUAGUGGGAAACCAACAUCUCCAAACUUCACCGCCGUCUGCUUUUUCAAAAUGACUUCAGGGUUUGCGAUCUUCCUUUUCAUUGUCUUUGCAGUACCAAGCUAUAUCUCCUGCGAGCAAGAACUUGAGGCAGUCCGAGCGGCCAGGUUUGGCAUUUUGCAAGCCGUUAACUGGGCUCAAAGCUUGAGAAGAUAUCAUGAUCACUUGGAUCAUGGCUCAAGAUUUGGUGAUAUUGCUAUUGCUGAUUGCUUGAAGCUUUAUGAGGAGUCUGAGCCAUUGCUUGCAUGGUUAGAAUUGUCUAGCAAGAAUUACAGCCAAGCUGAUGCAGUCACCUGGUUGAGUGCGGCCUUGGCUAGCCACAGAAGUUGUUUGGAUGGCUUGGAGGAGAAGGGUUUGUCUUUUGAUAGGCAGGCAGCACAAAACUUAACUCUGUUGCUUCACGCAGCUUUGGCUUCGGUAAAGCUACAAGUCAAUUUUGGAAGGCCACUAAGGCAUGGUAAGCUAGCUUCUCAGAGUAAUUAGGCCUUUUGUGCAACUUAUCCGUCUAGUACCUGUCUUGGCAGAAUGGUUAGUGAGUGUCUAUAUUCAUGUAAAAUUACCUAACAAACACGAAAACAGGGCAUGAUCACUUAAAAAGUAACGUGGGAACAAAAUGUAUUGGUGAAAUAUUUACUGUUUCUGAGUGGAAAUAUCGCUCCUUUCAUUAAAAGUUACACUAAGCAGGGGAUGCUCGCUAUAAUCCUUUUUGCUAACUAAUUUUUUAUUCAGGGAUUCCAAGAAAACGGGGCACUAAUCAAUAUUGGGGGCUAUUAGCAUCAUGGAGUCCAGCAACGUCGAAGGCUGAUAUUGUAGUUGCGCAAGAUGGAUCAGGAAACUUUAAGACGAUAAAGGAGGCAGUGGCUGCUCUUGGUAGAAUGGGACAUAAUAGGCCAGGAAGAGCAGUAGUAUACGUGAAAUCGGGGUUAUACCAUGAGAAGGUGGAGAUCCCGAGAAAUUUGGAGAAUGUCAUGUUUGUUGGGGAUGGUAUCGACAAAACAAUUGUCACCGGCAAUCAAAAUGUCGUUGAUGGUGCAAGUACCUUGAGCUCUGCUACCUUUGGUAAGCUUGAAAUCUAUUAUUCUUCUUAAUGUUCACUAUUCCCAUGAAGACUUUACUAACCAGAUUCUGAAUUUGCCAGAUAAAUUAAAAGCUGAUCCAGCUAAAGAUGUUCGAUUUUCCAUUAAGAUAAUACGUAAAAUGUCUGACAUAGUUGUAUGUCAGCUUCAGAAAUAUUGAAUGAUCACCCUUUCUGCACGUAGGUAUUUCUGGAAACGGCUUUUGGGCAAGAGACAUAACGUUUGAGAACACAGCAGGACCUCAAAAAAGGCAGGCCGUGGCACUUAGGGUAGGCUCAGACCUCGCGGUCUUCUAUCGCUGCAGUUUCAAAGGUUACCAAGACACCCUCUUGGUUCAUUCGCUAAGACAAUUCUAUCGCGAUUGCCAGAUACAUGGGACCAUCGACUUCAUCUUUGGUGAUGCAUCAGCUGUCUUCCAAAAUUGCGACAUUUUCGUGCGUAGGCCAAUGGAUGACCAGUCUAACAUGAUAACUGCACAAGGGAGGGAUCACCCUGAUCAGAAUACGGGGAUUUCAAUAAUAAACUGUCGAGUUGCACCAUCCUCUGAUUUCAGCCCCUUUACGGGGAGGUUCAAUAGUUACCUUGGUCGGCCGUGGAAGCAAUAUUCAAGAACCGUAUUUCUUAAGACGGACUUGGGUGGCUUAGUUCAUCCACGGGGAUGGAGCGAAUGGGCUGGAAAUUUUGCUCUUUCAACACUGUAUUAUGGGGAGUAUAUGAACACAGGACGUGGAGCUUCUACUGCAAACAGGGUGAAAUGGCCUGGAUUUCAUCCAAUGUACGAUCCCCGUGAGGCUAGUUGGUUUUCUGUAAGAAAUUUCAUCCAGGGGGACCUGUGGCUUUCUGCCACCGGAGUACCAUCUUCGCUUGAUGUUUGAAUUUUGAGAGCUUUGACAAUAUGCCUCCUACUAGUUUAACUUGUACUUUGGCAGUUAGAACUGUAUAUUCCACUCGGAACGUGGCUAGUUUAAUUGGAUUUCAUUAGCCUAAAAAUCAAAAUCCUCAACCGAACUAAAAUCUCUCCUUCCUGCAGUUUUCAUUUCACCUAACUGAGUAGUAUAUAACGAAUCAAUGAAUCGUGGAAAAACAAAAGUGAAAACUGCCCCUUAUUAUUGCUUCAAGAAUCACAAUCUGUAAACGAGAGGCAGGCAGGCGAUCAUCUUUGCACGAGAAUUGAGACGUCAAUCUAAUAAAUGCAAUAAUUUGUUUCGAUAUUAUAUGAUUCAGGUGUGACAUUUUGACUGUUUAAUUGUUUCGCAAAAGCAUCCUUACUAAUUGGUAGUAGCAUAUUAGUAAGAAUAGAAUGUUAAAUAACAAUGAGGUUUGUUCACCUAUAAAAUCCUCCGCUCUUUCAUGUUAGUUGUUUCUUUCCCUCCUUUUGCAGCCCAUUAACCAGAAUGGAGGGGGGAAAUGCGCUUUAGUCUCUCUCUUUUUUUUUUUUUUCAUAUAAGAUAAGCUAUCAAAUGUCCUAAUAUUUUGAACAAGAGGGACAAAAUUGGGAUGAAAUAAUAAUUUCAUACAGCGAGGGUCCAACAAGUGAAAAUUCUCCUAAAACAAUGGAGUAAAAGGCCAUUCUUUGAGGCGGGCCUUAUUGAAAUUAAUCCUAAUAUGUAUAUGGUAAAAAUUUCCACACCCGAAUUAGAAAGAGAAAAGAGAGGCCCUGUUCAACUACUUUUCUUUUCUUUUCUUUUUUUUUUAAAAAAAAACGUUUUGUUGCUAUUCUGCUACUAAAUUUCCUUUUUCUACAAACUUCAAAACCCUAGCUCAACCCUCCCUCCAUUAAAUUCCUAAAUCUUCCUACUGGAAACGAUCAGAACCCAGAUUCCAGGUCAGUUAUUCAUAUACAACAACCGAAAAAGAUGCAAUCUUUUUCGAACCCAUAUAAAAUUUUUGAAAAAUAUUCAAAAAUCUGAUUGAUAAUUUGUGAAAAAUCAGAUUUUUUUUGAUGGCGGGUGGAGGAGCAGAUGCUGUUGAAACUGCAGCCUUGUGCUGUGCUAAAUGUGGCAAGCCAGCUCAUCUUCAGUAAGUGAUCUUUAUCCUAUAUACUUUCUUAAAUUGUUUACACUAAUCAUUACUCAUUCUGCCGUACAAAUUCAAAAUUGUACAAUGAUUCACAUCGCUGUAAAAGCAUUUUUGUUUAAAAAUGGUGAAAAGGUGAAGAAACUCAUGCGUUUUCUUUUUUCCUUACUGAAGUAAUCUUAUAUGGGCCAUGUGUAUAUUACACUAAAUUGAUGAUUGUCUUGGUGGUUCAUAGAUAAUAAGCAGUGGGAUUUUCCCUUGCAGGUGCCCCAAAUGUGUAGAGCUAAAGCUUCCUCGUGAAGGUGCUGCUUUCUGGUUUGUAAUUCUGACCUGUGAAUUGUAUAUUCAUGUUUCUGGGUUUUAACUUCCUGAAAGAGUCAAUUAGCAAAGAUAGAGCUGAAACAAAAAAAAAAGGAAGGAAGACUUCUGAAAACAGCUACUCUUUAGUUUUAUAAAUUUGACAAUAAAAGAGCCGCUGAAACAUGUAUGUAUGCCUGAAUGUAUUCAAACAUUUAAUAUUUUGGCAUGGCUUAUAUUUUACCUUGACGGAGAUGCAUUUGUUACUAGCACACAGGACUGUUUCAAGGCAUCCUGGGGUUCACAUAAAUCAAUUCACUUGAAGGCGAAAUUAUUGGAACUUUCACCUGGCAAUGAGCAAGAUGCUACCUCUCCUGCAAGCAGUUGGCUUUAUUGCUUGAAGAAAGGACAGGCUCGUACACUGAAAAUGCCAAACUUUGAUUGGACAGGGUAUUUUACUCAAUUUUGACUCUUGGUGUGGCCAAUUCUUCUCAUCCUCUUGCUAAAGAAGUUGCCUUUCCUAGUGAUGAUUUUUCAUAAAUUGUUUCCAAUGAAUAAAGAGUUGGGAUCUUGGAGGAAAAAUUUCUCCUUUUCUACGUGUUUUAUGCAAGUGCAAUUAAGUAUGUUGUGAUAGCAACUUCUCUCGUAAGUCAUUGUAAUUUUUGCUUGAGAUUCAGGUUUGCCAAAAAUUUUGGAAUAUUGUAAUCCUUUCAUGUAAAGAAAAAGUGUUAGAAUGAGAGCUAUGGAUUAACUAGGGACUCAAAAUGGCCAAUACCUUGAUUUAUUGGGGAUGUUCUUUUGAAUUAUCUCUUCUGUUUUGGCUCAGGACACUAAGGCCGUACCCUAUAUCAAAAAAGCGUGAAGUUCCUGCUCACAUUGAACAACCUGAUUGGGCGAGUGAUGUGAGUGUGUCACUUCCCAAUUCAAAUGUUGUUUUUGUCUUAUAGGUUUUGAAGUAUAGAGCAGAAAUUCUACAGAGUUUUUUUAUUUGAAUGAAUGUGAUUUUAAUGAUCAGUUGGUUUCAUUACUAAUUUAUCUCCUUGGUUGUUAUAUGGAAAUUGUAAUCCUUUAUUUCAGUUAGGCUCGUGGACUGUAAUUUUAACUUUGCAUUGGAACUUCAUGCUAUAAUUCUUGAGUUUGCUUAACUUCGUAUGUUUAACAUGGCAGGGAAUCCCAAAGGUUGAGCCAAAUAGUGACCUGCAGCACACUGUUGAGGUAUCCUCUGAUUGAAGCUAAACAUUUUAGUCUCAAAUUUCUGCACAAGAGAGAGUUGUGACUUAGUUUUGUUUAUGUUUUGCAAAUACACGUAAUUUGAAGAUCAAGACUCCCGACCAAAUUGAGAGAAUGCGAGAAACUUGUCGAGUAAGUAAUUGUCUUUUUGUUUAACUUGGUACAUUGUUCUAUUUGGUGGUUUGAGAUAUCAAUCUUUAUGUUAUAAGUUGUGAAUCACAUCAACCAAGUACAUGCCGCAGAAUUUAUGUCUCUGUUUAUAAAUAAUCUGCAUUAAGAAGCAAGAGGCACAGUAAGCCAAAGAGGCCUUGGUCUAGUGGCUGAGGUUGAGGCUUCACGACUUAGAAGUCCUGGGUUCUGAUCCCCCUUCCCCCUCGCCACUUCUUAAAUCCCAUUCCUCAAAUUUUUUUUUUUAAAAAGCAAGAGGCACAAUGGCUCUUUAGAACAACAAAAUGGACAAAGAAAGGAAUUGAUCAUGGAAAACAUUAUCUGAAGUUAGAGAGAGAAAUAUGAAUAUGAUGUUUUAUGUUAUCUCGGUCAAGGAAGAAGGUAGUCUGGAACUGAUGAAGAAAAGUAAAUUAUCUUACACUUGAUUGAGACUCAGAAAAAACUUUUUUUUUUUUUGGGAGGGGGGGGGGGAUUCAUCUUGACUUCCAUGCAAUUUUCAUAUUUUGCUUAACUUGCUAUCUUAUUUUCUAUGUAUUUAUCCUCGUGGAAGAACUUCAGUCUUUUAUGACAAAGAUAAAAUUUGACGUUAACCUUACUAUAGAUGCUAGUUGAACACACAAGUUUUUUGAAUUGGUUAUGAGUAUUGUUUGUGACCCGCAGAUUGCAAGAGAAGUUUUGGAUGCAGCUGCCCGUGUUAUUCGACCUGGCAUAACUACUGAUGAAAUUGAUGCGGUGGUUCAUGAAGCUACUGUUUCUGCAGGUGUUUUUCCUUUAGGAUGCUAUUCAAAUUUAUUACUUUUUCCUUCUCUCUCAUGUGCCUUUGUACACUCAUGUUUGUGUUUUGAGAAGAAUUUUUAUAUUGAGAACUUGAAUUUGUUGGUACACUGAAAAUUUGUCAUCUGGGCUACUUAUUUUUCCAGAUGUGUGUUGGCGAACAAUCCAACUUGUUUCUCUGCCUUGUUUUAGUUUGGAAGACAUUUUUGCAUUGUUAGCUUCAAGCCAAUUUUUGGAUUUAGAUCACUGGCAUGUAUUUCUACCACAUUUGAGCAAGGCAGACAUCUUGUUAGAAAACUUACCUGUUUCUUUUGAUUGGUGGUUAUCUAGAUAAACUAUUGAUAUGAGAGGCAAACAAGUCUGAAAUUGUACAUUAGGAUUAGUCAUUUUAGUUUUCUCAGUGAUGUAGAUAGUCUGAGAUCCUUCUUAUGAUAGUAAAAUUUUCUUGAAAUUCUUACCCCUUCUUAGAUGUUACCACUCCCUCUCUUUUCUCUUUUCUUGUUAGGUACUAUAAUUAUUAUUGCACAGGUGGUCCUAUCUUGUUGUUUGACUUGUAGCAAUUUUUAUGUUUCUUAUUCUUGGUUCUUUCAUAUGAUAUUGCACAUGGCAACUAUCUGUGACCUUCAUGACACUUUCAGUUUUAUCCACUGCAGGUGGAUAUCCAUCGCCUCUGAACUAUCAUUUCUUCCCAAAAUCUUGCUGCACGUAGGUACUUCCACAUUGUGCACGGUACAUUCAUGCUUCUUUGUUAUCAUCCUGCAUUUUCGACAUUUUUCUGCCUUGUGGUCACAGGUCAGUUAAUGAGGUAAUCUGCCAUGGAAUUCCGGAUGCAAGGUACCUCCUGCUUGAAACCAAGCAUAUUCAUGGUAGUCGCUUCUGUUUUUCUGUUAAACAUCGUACAUUCUUUUGCUGAUCCUAACCAUGUCUUCUGACUUCUGAAUUUAACAUAUCGAUUAAAAUUGUGUGACUAUGUUCUCUCUGCACAAUUAGUUUUUCAUAUGAAACUCUUUUUUCUGUUCAUUCCACAAUAUCAGAAGGCAGGUAAAAGAAUGCUGCUGAUCACUGCAUUUUUGUCUUACUUUCGUUAGUUUAUGUUCCAUUUUAUGAGGUGCUUCAUGCUUGCUUAUAUAUAUAUAUAUAUAAUUUGGGAUCAUGUUGCUUUUUAUUAUGUAAUACAGUCUGAAAGGAGGAUCUAGUAACAAUCUGUUAUAUUUUAUAUCUAAGCCUCGCUGAAAGUUGGGUUGAGCCUCUAUACAUUAUGCUAUAUACUUAAUCUUCUCAGGAAAUUAGAGGAUGGCGACAUUGUAAAUGUAGAUGUAACUGUGUACCAUAAAGGGGUCCAUGGUAAACUCUUGGUUCUAUUGAUUUUUUUGUUGUGUUAAUCUGAUUACUAUAAACUUACAAGAUUAACUGGUCUGUUAUGCUGAGUAUGCAGGUGAUCUCAAUGAAACAUUCUUUGUGGGCAACGUUGAUGAAGCAUCUCAGCGGCUCGUGCAAUGUACAUAUGAGUGCUUGGAGAAGGCAAUAUCUAUUGGUGGGUGUUGCUUUGAGAUCUUUGUACAUCAAAGUUGUAUUCUAUCUCCUGACAGCCCCAGAACUGUUUCUUAGAGAUCAGCGCUGAACUUUACCAUCACUUGACAUUUCUAGUAGCCUUAUUAUGCAGUUUCUUUCCCUCUUUUCCUUCUAUCUGUGACGUGUACUCUUUCCUUUCUGAUGCAUCUCAUUUCUUUGCAAAAAAAAUUCUUCCAUCUGGAAAAAUAUUGUUAAUUUAAAGGAGAGAUACAAAGUUGUGAUUUAUUUAGAAGUAAUAUUGCAUGUGCUUUGUUUCAUCCCGGUUUUGCAUGUUUCAAUUUGCAUCUGUCCACAAAGUUCUGAUAUUACUUUCAGUUUUGGAAUGCUGUCGCUUACAAAAUUCCAACUUUCUUGGGAAGUUAAAGUUGUAGAUUCAGUGAGUAUCAUUUUUUUUUAACUACUUUGUAUUGUUACUUCUAGUCAAACCUGGGGUACGAUUUCGUGAAGUUGGAGAGGUCAUCAAUCGACACGCUUUGAUGUCAGGCUUCUCUGUGGUAAACUGCUAGUACCUUUUUCCCCACGUCUUGCUUAAAGAAUUUAAAAUAUUUCUUCAAUUUCAUUUUUUUUAAAAUUUUUUACAUUUCUGGCAUGUAAAACAGGUCAAAUCUUAUUGUGGUCAUGGUAUUGGAGAGCUAUUCCAUUGUGCACCAAAUAUUCCGCAUUAUGCUAGUAUCCUUGAGAAAAGCUGCUUGACAUUAUGAAAUCUUUUUCACUUGAAACUUUCUGGUUCCCAGUUUUAGGUUUGAAAUAUGGCUUCUCCAUGAAAUCUGUCUUUGGGUACAGUGAAUCUGAAUGGUACUAAAUAGAUAAAUUAUAGAAGAUAGAAAGGAUUGAUUGCCGUUGCUGUUGAAUUCCCAUUUCUCUGGUUUUGCCCUUUAACUCCGAGCAGGAAAUAAAGCAGUUGGUAUAAUGAAGGCUGGCCAGACCUUUACUAUAGAACCAAUGAUCAAUGCAGGUACUAGUUUCAUUCACAUGAUAUCACAACCGAUAUGUAUAGGUUUAGGUUUUCUCAAUGUUAUAUAUUGAACUACUUCCCACUGACAGGUGUUUGGCGUGACCGGAUGUGGCCUGAUGGAUGGACAGCUGUUACUGCAGAUGGAAAAUGCAGUGCUCAGUUUGAACACACUCUUUUGGUGAGAUUCUGUUAGUGUUGAACACAUUAACACUGAUUUGUUUGCUACUGGUCUUUGGAUAUUCUUUCAUAUACUUGGGAGCUGAUGAAAUUGGUCCAUUUUAGUGAUGCAAUGAGUUCGUACACCACAUGAGAAUUUAGACUCCUUCAAGAGGGACAAUAUCUCAUGCAUGUAUUGCUACUUCCAUCCAUAAUUUCAAUGCAUUUCCACCUUGACUGUAUUCCUUAAGUACCUUGCCACCUCUGUGAAUCACUGCUAAAGUUAAUUUAGUGGCAAUAGACUAGACCCAAGGUUCACCUGCUAAGAAGUCUUCAAAGUUUACAAAAGUUGCAAGGCAUUUGUGGUGUUUACUAACAUCCCUGCAACAGAACAACUUAGUUUUCUAGGAUUAUCAUUCUAGCAUGGUCUCUUUGCUUGGAAACUGAUGUAUGCCAAGUGCAACGAAAAGUCGUGCAUCUGAUUAACCAUUUUUUUUUUUGGGAUAAUAUAAUUUCAACUAGUGAUGCACAAUAUAAUGAAGUGCAAUUUUGCAGGUGACAGAGACGGGGGUUGAAGUUCUCACAGCACGCUUGCCAACAUCCCCCAACGUGUUCCCCUGGAUACAUUCAUAACCGAUAUCAUCCAGCCAGAUCAAUCUCAACCUAUUUUUGUGCUUUAGAGCUUUGACAAGAAGCCAGUGGUACCCGCUUCGCAUUCUCGGGGGAAUAUCAUACCUUUUUGCUGGAUUUUUUACACGACUUUAUCAAAUUGACUUGCAUUUGUAAUCUAUUGGAUUGAAAAUUUUGAUAAGAAGGUUUGUAGUUCGAAAUGUGUCUGGCUGUAGAAAGCACCUACAAGCCACUCAAAGAUCCAAGUUCUCUUUUUCUUAAGAAUCUGCUAGCGUCCGCUUUUAAUAUUGGUUUGCUUAGGAGUUAAAUGACUGUGUGCUAAUAAUACAGUCCAUGUAGAUUUAUAAUGUGAUUUAGAAAGCUCAAAGAUGCUGAUUCGAUAAUUACGUUGUUAUAAUGCACUCUCAUUACUCCUGUGUGCAGUUAUUUACACUUCGCUAACCUCUAGCCAUACAAUAUAGCCCUUAAUUUUGUUCAGCAAUAGGACCGAUGAAGUAUAUAGAUCACAUUAAGAGCAUCAACUUGUCCUUCGAAACCUAACACAACAGAAGGCUCUGCCAGCCAAAUUGCCAUCCGCGCUACUGCAGUCUCAGAAUCUUACCUAACGCACCAGCAUGAAAGUUUUUGUUACCUCAAUAACAGCUCUCACACCAUCUGCGGCAACAGCCUCAAUAACAGCCCGUUGAAGCCUAUUUUCAGAAAGUGGUACCCAAGCCAAAGUCAUUUCGAACACGAGGAAAUUAAAUAUGCCAAGAUGACAGAGUUGCAGGUCAAGCUGCAAUUAGACUGAUGCAAAGUCCUAGCAAUAGCAAGAAUUCUUGAAAUAAAAGGUGGCUGAUCGGAUGAGCACUCACAUACUGAAAAAGAAAAGACACGCAAUAGAUUUCAAUUCCUCGCAGCAUCUUUCUUACAUAAUAAACACCCCUACCAUCUUUCUCCUUCCUCAAAUGGUUUUGACUGAAUUAUCUAAAACCCAACUGAUUCAACUAAUGAGGAAUAUGACGCGUUUUCAUCAAGUGUUUCACGCCUCUGUACAGUGUUGUUUUGUUCACUGGUAGCUUUAGGAAGCUGACCAGCUUCAACAUCUGCCAUAUCACAGAGU
rnacentral:lncRNA from 1 species